GUGUUUUAUUGCUUUUAUGUGGUUAUAAAUCUGGUGUUAUAAUAUCUGAGUUGUAAACAUACUUUUUUGUAGAUUGUUGGAACAUCGAAACAAGGUUGUGUAUUUGGAAUCGGAUCACUCCAAAGAGGUGAUUUAAUGCCUUUAGAGUCUUCGACGGUUUAUCCACUAGGGAAUGCAGAAGUGGGAACAUUUACUCAUCGAGUGGACGAGCUUGAAGCUGAAUUGCAAAAGAGUCGUGAUGAGAACGAACUCCUCAAGAAACAAAUGGUCACAUAAAAUGACGGUUUUGUGACUUGAUUAUUAGUUGGUAAUUGUGACCGUUUUGUCACUUUUAUGCUCCGUCACGAAUUGUGUCGGAAUUGUUACGGUCUCAAUAUGUCACAACACUGUUACGUUUUUGAUACCAGAAAAAAAUUUGUGAUGAUUGUAUUGCAACCGUUUACAAACGGUUACAAAUACGUCACAAUAUCAAUAUUGUGACGAAAUGUUUUUCUGUGACGAAAAAAUCCGUUACAAUAUACUUAUUUUCUUGUAGCUAGUGUAGGUCGAAACAAAGUCUUAUAACAUACUUAUAGAACCAUGUGUGUCAGUGUGUGGCUUCUGGAGAUCUGAUGUGUUAAGAGCAUCAAACUAAAGAUUUC
rnacentral:lncRNA from 1 species